AGAAGAAGCACCGGCUAACUCCGUGCCAGCAGCCGCNNUAAUACGGAGGGUGCAAGCGUUAAUCGGAAUUACUGGGCGUAAAGCGCACGCAGGCGGUUUGUUAAGUCAGAUGUGAAAUCCCCGCGCUUAACGUGGGAACUGCAUUUGAAACUGGCAAGCUAGAGUCUUGUAGAGGGGGGUAGAAUUCCAGGUGUAGCGGUGAAAUGCGUAGAGAUCUGGAGGAAUACCGGUGGCGAAGGCGGCCCCCUGGACAAAGACUGACGCUCAGGUGCGAAAGCGUGGGGAGCAAACAGGAUUAGAUACCCUGGUAGUCCACGCUGUAAACGAUGUCGACUUGGAGGUUGUGCCCUUGAGGCGUGGCUUCCGGAGCUAACGCGUUAAGUCGACCGCCUGGGGAGUACGGCCGCA
rnacentral:rRNA from 1 species